UACGUAGGGUGCGAGCGUUGUCCGGAAUUAUUGGGCGUAAAGGGCUCGUAGGCGGUUUGUCGCGUCGGGAGUGAAAACCCAGGGCUUAACCCUGGGCUGGCUUCCGAUACGGGCAGACUAGAGGUAUGCAGGGGAGAUCGGAAUUCCUGGUGUAGCGGUGAAAUGCGCAGAUAUCAGGAGGAACACCUGUGGCGAAGGCGGCCCCCUGGGCCGGCCCUGACGCUGAGACGCGAAAGCGCGGGGAGCGAACGGG
rnacentral:rRNA from 1 species